rfam:Gossypium arboreum cultivar AKA8401 contig_69996_1, whole genome shotgun sequence.
AAACUAUGCAUCAGACAUUUUCUAAUUAACUCCUUGAAUUGCUCUCAUGCUUCAUAUAAUGUUUCAUCAUCAUAUUGCAGAAAGGACAUAAUAUCGUUCCUUAGUUU